rnacentral:rRNA from 1 species
CCUACGGGAGGCAGCAGUGAGGAAUAUUGGUCAAUGGGCGCAAGCCUGAACCAGCCAAGUCGCGUGAGGGAAGACGGCCCUACGGGUUGUAAACCUCUUUUGCCGGGGAGCAAGCCUGAGCACGUGUGCCCAGGCGGCGAGUACCCGGAGAAACAGCAUCGGCUAACUCCGUGCCAGCAGCCGCGGUAAUACGGGGGAUGCGAGCGUUAUCCGGAUUUAGUGGGUUAAAAGGGUGCGCAGGCGGGCUGUUAAGCCGGCGGGAAAAAUCCAGGGCUCAACCCUGUCGAGCCGUCGGAACUGGGAGUCUUGAGUGGGCGAGAAGUAUGCGGAAGGCGUGGUGUAGCGGUGAAAUGCAUAGAUAUCACGCAGAACGCCGAUUGCGAAGGCAGCAUACCGGCGCCCAACUGACGCUGAGGCACGAAAGCGUGGGGAUCGAACAGGAUUAGAUACCCGAGUAGUC